GACGAACGCUGGCGGCGUGCUUAACACAUGCAAGUCGAACGGAAAGGCCCUGCUUUUGUGGGGUGCUCGAGUGGCGAACGGGUGAGUAACACGUGAGUAACCUGCCCUUGACUUUGGGAUAACUUCAGGAAACUGGGGCUAAUACCGGAUAGGAGCUCCUGCUGCAUGGUGGGGGUUGGAAAGUUUCGGCGGCUGGGGAUGGACUCGCGGCUUAUCAGCUUGUUGGUGGGGUAGUGGCUUACCAAGGCUUUGACGGGUAGCCGGCCUGAGAGGGUGACCGGCCACAUUGGGACUGAGAUACGGCCCAGACUCCUACGGGAGGCAGCAGUGGGGAAUAUUGCACAAUGGGCGGAAGCCUGAUGCAGCAACGCCGCGUGCGGGAUGACGGCCUUCGGGUUGUAAACCGCUUUCGCCUGUGACGAAGCGUGAGUGACGGUAAUGGGUAAAGAAGCACCGGCUAACUACGUGCCAGCAGCCGCGGUGAUACGUAGGGUGCGAGCGUUGUCCGGAUUUAUUGGGCGUAAAGGGCUCGUAGGUGGUUGAUCGCGUCGGAAGUGUAAUCUUGGGGCUUAACCCUGAGCGUGCUUUCGAUACGGGUUGACUUGAGGAAGGUAGGGGAGAAUGGAAUUCCUGGUGGGGCGGUGGAAUGCGCAGAUAUCAGGAGGAACACCAGUGGCGAAGGCGGUUCUCUGGGCCUUUCCUGACGCUGAGGAGCGAAAGCGUGGGGAGCGAACAGGCUUAGAUACCCUGGUAGUCCACGCUGUAAACGGUGGGUACUAGGUGUGGGGUCCAUUCCACGGGUUCCGUGCCGUAGCUAACGCUUUAAGUACCCCGCCUGGGGAGUACGGCCGCAAGGCUAAAACUCAAAGGAAUUGACGGGGCCCCGCACAAGCGGCGGAGCAUGCGGAUUAAUUCGAUGCAACGCGUAGAACCUUACCUGGGUUUGACAUGGAUCGGGAGUGCUCAGAGAUGGGUGUGCCUCUUUUGGGGUCGGUUCACAGGUGGUGCAUGGCUGUCGUCAGCUCGUGUCGUGAGAUGUUGGGUUAAGUCCCGCAACGAGCGCAACCCUUGUUCACUGUUGCCAGCACGUUAUGGUGGGGACUCAGUGGAGACCGCCGGGGUCAACUCGGAGGAAGGUGGGGAUGACGUCAAGUCAUCAUGCCCCUUAUGUCCAGGGCUUCACGCAUGCUACAAUGGCUGGUACAGAGAGUGGCGAGCCUGUGAGGGUGAGCGAAUCUCGGAAAGUCGGUCUCAGUUCGGAUUGGGGUCUGCAACUCGACCUCAUGAAGUCGGAGUCGCUAGUAAUCGCAGAUCAGCAACGCUGCGGUGAAUACGUUCCCGGGGCU
rnacentral:rRNA from 1 species